rnacentral:rRNA from 1 species
GACGAACGCUGGCGGCGUGCUUAACACAUGCAAGUCGAACGGUGAAAGCGGAGCUUGCUCCGCUGGAUCAGUGGCGAACGGGUGAGUAACACGUGGCAACCUGCCCCUCACUUCGGGAUAACUCCGGGAAACCGGGGCUAAUACCGGAUAUGACCUCCUUGGGCAUCCUUGGCGGUGGAAAGUUUUUCGGUGAGGGAUGGAGCCCGCGGCCUACCAGCUUGUUGUGGAGGUAGUGGCUCACCAGGGCGACGGCGGGUAGCCGGCCUGAGAGGGCGUCCGGCAACACGGGGAAUGAGACAUGGGCCAGGCGCCUGCGGGAGGAAGCCGUGGGGACUAUUGGGCAAUGGGCGAAAGCCUGACGCGGCAACGCCGCGUGCGGGAUGGCGGCCUUCUGGUUGUAAACCGCUCUCAGCAGGGAAGAAGCCGCAAGGUGACGGUACCUGCAGAAGAAGCACCGGCUAACUACGUGCCAGCCGCGGCCGUAA